GUGCACAGGGCUCUGACCUAUGAAUUGACAGCCAGUGCUCUCGUCUUCCCUCUGGCUGCCAAUUCCAUAGGUCACAGGUAUGUUCGCC
rnacentral:miRNA from 1 species